UACGUAGGGUGCAAGCGUUAAUCGGAAUUACUGGGCGUAAAGCGUGCGCAGGCGGUCUUGCAAGACAGAUGUGAAAUCCCCGGGCUUAACCUGGGAACUGCAUUUGUGACUGCAUCGCUGGAGUACGGCAGAGGGGGAUGGAAUUCCGCGUGUAGCAGUGAAAUGCGUAGAUAUGCGGAGGAACACCGAUGGCGAAGGCAAUCCCCUGGGCCUGUACUGACGCUCAUGCACGAAAGCGUGGGGAGCAAACAGG
rnacentral:rRNA from 1 species